ACACUCCUACGGGAGGCAGCAGUGGGGAAUAUUGCACAAUGGGCGCAAGCCUGAUGCAGCCAUGCCGCGUGUAUGAAGAAGGCCUUCGGGUUGUAAAGUACUUUCAGCGGGGAGGAAGGCGAUAAGGUUAAUAACCUUGUCGAUCGACGUUACCCGCAGAAGAAGCACCGGCUAACUCCGUGCCAGCAGCCGCGGUAAUACGGAGGGUGCAAGCGUUAAUCGGAAUUACUGGGCGUAAAGCGCACGCAGGCGGGCUGUCAAGUCGGAUGUGAACGCCCCGGGCUCAACCUGGGAACUGCAUUCGAAACUGGCAGGCUAGAGUCUUGUAGAGGGGGGUAGAAUUCCAGGUGUAGCGGUGAAAUGCGUAGAGAUCUGGAGGAAUACCGGUGGCGAAGGCGGCCCCCUGGACAAAGACUGACGCUCAGGUGCGAAAGCGUGGGGAGCAAACAGGAUUAGAUACCCCGGUAGUCCCA
rnacentral:rRNA from 1 species